GACGAACGCUGGCGGCGUGCCUAAUACAUGCAAGUCGAACGCAGUGGGGACGGGUGAGUAACACGUGGGUAACCUCCCAUCAGAGGGGAUAACACUUGGCAACAGCCGCUAACCUGAUACUGAUGGAUGGACCCGCGGUGCAUUAGCUAGUUGGUGAGGUAACGGCCCACCAAGGCCACGAUGCAUAGCCGACCUGAGAGGGGUAUCUGCCACACUGGGACUGAGACACGGCCCAGACUCCUACGGGAGGCAGCAGUAGGGAAUAUUCGGCAAUGGGCGAAAGUCUGACCGAGCAACGCCGCGUGAGUGAAGAAGGUUUGCGGAUCGUAAAGCUCUGUUGUUAGAGAAGCGGUAUCUAACCAGAAAGCCACGGCUAACUACGUGCCAGCAGCCGCGGUAAUAC
rnacentral:rRNA from 1 species